AUGGAGCGGUUCAACAAGGAGCAAGAGGACGCCCUUCAACUCCUCUCCUCCCUCCAGGAACUAGAGUUUUGGUCUUUCAACGAUCUUCAGCAACUCCCUGCAGGGCUGCGUAACCUUACCAGCCUCAAGAAAUUAUCAGUCUACUCUUGUCCAGCCGUCUUGUCAUUGCCCAAUGAUGCCCUCCCAGAUUCGCUGAAAAUGCUAGAUAUCUUCAGCUGCAGUGAGGAGCUGAAACAGUACUGCAGGGGGUUAGUGGGAACCGACUCUGCCUUGGAGUUUUCUUGUACAUUCUUCUAG
rnacentral:rRNA from 1 species